GUGCUGAUUUGGUCGAGUGCUGGAAGAUUCUCGAGCUAGGGUUUGCUUUCUAGUUUAGCUUGUUAUGGAUUUUUCUUUGAUUUGCUAUUGAUUUCAAUCUCCCGCAAUGUUUUCUUGGUUUUAUAGUUGUACCGUGAUCGAGCUCAUUUCUUUCAAGUUUUAAUUUUUUAGAUUGUUGGAUUUGAGUUUUUGGGAAGCGAAGGGGUUUUCUAGUUUGAAAAGAUCAGUGCUUUCAGUGCGAAUUCACCUUUUUCAUGGAUGUGAACAAAGUUUACCAGUGUGUAUUUUUAGUUGUUUUUUGGUGUUUCUCUCUUUGUAAUUACUUUUAUUUAGUUUUUCGUUACUCUUAACCCAGAGGUCUACAAUGUGGAUUUAUUUAUUCAAGAAAUUCAGUUGGAAGUUUUGUUCUUUUCUUGUUGAUUAUGAUCUUUUUAAACUUUAACUCUAGAAAGUUUGUCUGAUUGCUACUUAUGACUCAAUAUUGUUUUCUUCUUAUUCUUUUUCUUCCUUUCUUUCUUUCUUUCUUUCUUCCUUUUUCACUAAUGAUGGCAAAGAAAGUGCUUGGUGCAGGGGAAAUGAUGCUUGAUUUUAGAGAGAAAAUGCAGAAUGAGGCAGUUCGUUUUGUGACAUACAACGUGAACUUUGCUUCUAGUAAAUUCUCAAAUUACAAGAUAAGAGCGAAUAAUAUACUUGUCGAGCCCAACAAAGCGCCUGAAGCACCAUCCUUGAAAGAGAUUGUCGCAAAAGAGACUGCUGAGCUACUAGAGCGGCGUCAGCGUCUCUCUGUUCGUGACCUGGCCAAGAAAUUUGAGAAGGGUCUUAACACUGCCACGAAGUUGUCUAAUGAGGCCAAGUGGAGAGAAGUGACUAAUGGAGGUGUCCUUCUGAAGAAAUUGAUGGUUGUACUUGAAUCACUAAAGGGUCGCAUGGUGGGCCAAAAUAAAGAUGAAGUUGAGGAGGCAAUUUCUAUGGUGGAGAUUUUAGUGGAUCAGCUGGCUGAAAGUGAAGGAGAGUUGCUUCAGGAGAAAUCAGAAGUGAAAAAAUUAGCAAUCUUGCUUAAAAAGGCUUCUGAAGAUGCCAAAAAGUUGGUUGAAGAGGAAAGGGCUUGUGCUCAUGCAAAAAUUGAAAGUGCUAGAGCUGCAGUGCAGAGAGUUUUACAAGCAUUUCAUGAACAUGAAAAAUUAUCCAGAAGCAAAGAGAAGCAGAAGGAUUUCCAAGAAUUGAUGAGUGAAGUUCAAGAGGCACGAAGAAUCAAAAUGCUACAUCAGCCCAGCAGGGUAAUGGACAUGGAACAUGAACUUCAAGCAUUGCGUAUUCAGUAUGCAGAGAAGUCUAUGUCUUCUGUUCAGCUUGGGAAAGAGCUGGAAAGGAGCAGAACGCUUAAGGAAAACAAGAACCAAUUGUAUGAGCUAGAAGGUCUUGAAAGUUUAGGUUCAUCUUUACAUAUUAUUCCUCGAGAAGAUACUGCUCCAGAUAUCUCAACUUGUUCAAUUCAGUGGUAUCGUAUACAGCCUGAAGGAAACAAGAAGGAAUUAAUUCCAGGAGCAACAAAAUCAGUAUAUGCUCCAGAGCCUUUUGAUGUUGGGCGUUUUGUGCUCGCAGAAAUUGUUAUGGGGGCUGAAAGCAUAACAGUUGCAACAACUGGUCCAAUAGAUCCUGCUGCUGGACUAGGAAGCUACGUAGAGGCACUUCUUCGAAAACAUGAAACCGAGUUCAAAGUCGUUGUUGUUCGGAUGAAUGGAGAAAAUCAUGUCUCAAACUCUAUUCAUGUGUUUCAUGUUGGUAGGCUGAGCAUCAAACUUAGUAGAGAAAAGACAAUAUUGGCUAGGGAAUUUUAUUCCACUUCAAUGCAGGAUGUUAUUUACUUGAGAUUCAAAUUUGAAAUCAUUGGAAGGAACUAAUAUCCCUACCACUUCUAAAGUGGGAGAGAGACUUGGCUAGCUGUGCGGGGCUAGAGGUGGUGGAAAUGCUGCAGCCCAAGCAAUUUUUUGGCAAGCUAAGAAAGGCCUUUCCUUCACGUUAGCCUUUCAAUCAGAGAGAGAAAGGAAUGCAGCAAUGAUGCUUGCUCGAAGAUUUGCUUUUGAUUGUAAUAUAACCCUUGCUGGACCAGAUGAUCGGGCUUCUGCAGGAACUUGAUAAAAUUUUAUACCAGUUAAAUAAUCUGGUGGUUUGCGAAGAUAUAAAUGUGAUAUUACAUCUAGUGAUGGAAAAUAGAUUGUGUUUAGGAUCUUGUCCAUUUUUUUCCCAGCUUGAUUACCUUUUAUCCCUAUCACUGUGAGCAUCAAGGCAUCCUUUUUAUUUGCCUUAAGAUCGGGUUGUAAAUUGUAACCAAUUUGUUUUAGGUUUAAUUUAUCAUUCUUUGCCUACCAAAAGG